AACGUAGGGGACAAGCGUUAUCCGGAGUUACUGGGCGUAAAGGGCGUGUAGGUGGUUUCGUAAGUCUGGGGUGAAAUAUCUCGGCUUAACCGAGGCAGGUCGUCGGAUACUGCGGAACUAGAGGACGGUAGAGGCGUGUGGAAUUCCGGGUGUAGUGGUGAAAUGCGUAGAGAUUCGGAGGAACACCAGUGGCGAAGGCGACACGCUGGGCCGUACCUGACACUGAUGCGCGACAGCAUGGGGAGCAAACGGG
rnacentral:rRNA from 1 species